UUAACACAUGCAAGUCGAACGGAAAGGCCCCUUCGGGGGUACUCGAGUGGCGAACGGGUGAGUAACACGUGGGCAAUCUGCCCUGCACUUCGGGAUAAGCCUGGGAAACUGGGUCUAAUACCGGAUAGGACCUUUAGGCGCAUGUCUUUAGGUGGAAAGCUUUUGCGGUGUGGGAUGGGCCCGCGGCCUAUCAGCUUGUUGGUGGGGUGAUGGCCUACCAAGGCGACGACGGGUAGCCGGCCUGAGAGGGUGUCCGGCCACACUGGGACUGAGAUACGGCCCAGACUCCUACGGGAGGCAGCAGUGGGGAAUAUUGCACAAUGGGCGCAAGCCUGAUGCAGCGACGCCGCGUGGGGGAUGACGGCCUUCGGGUUGUAAACCUCUUUCACCAUCGACGAAGGUUCGGGUUUUCUCGGAUUGACGGUAGGUGGAGAAGAAGCACCGGCCAACUACGUGCCAGCAGCCGCGGUAAUACGUAGGGUGCGAGCGUUGUCCGGAAUUACUGGGCGUAAAGAGCUCGUAGGUGGUUUGUCGCGUUGUUCGUGAAAUCUCACGGCUUAACUGUGAGCGUGCGGGCGAUACGGGCAGACUAGAGUACUGCAGGGGAGACUGGAAUUCCUGGUGUAGCGGUGGAAUGCGCAGAUAUCAGGAGGAACACCGGUGGCGAAGGCGGGUCUCUGGGCAGUAACUGACGCUGAGGAGCGAAAGCGUGGGGAGCGAACAGGAUUAGAUACCCUGGUAGUCCACGCCGUAAACGGUGGGUACUAGGUGUGGGUUUCCUUCCUUGGGAUCCGUGCCGUAGCUAACGCAUUAAGUACCCCGCCUGGGGAGUACGGCCGCAAGGCUAAAACUCAAAGGAAUUGACGGGGGCCCGCACAAGCGGCGGAGCAUGUGGAUUAAUUCGAUGCAACGCGAAGAACCUUACCUGGGUUUGACAUGCACAGGACGCGUCUAGAGAUAGGCGUUCCCUUGUGGCCUGUGUGCAGGUGGUGCAUGGCUGUCGUCAGCUCGUGUCGUGAGAUGUUGGGUUAAGUCCCGCAACGAGCGCAACCCUUGUCUCAUGUUGCCAGCGGGUAAUGCCGGGGACUCGUGAGAGACUGCCGGGGUCAACUCGGAGGAAGGUGGGGAUGACGUCAAGUCAUCAUGCCCCUUAUGUCCAGGGCUUCACACAUGCUACAAUGGCCGGUACAAAGGGCUGCGAUGCCGCAAGGUUAAGCGAAUCCUUUUAAAGCCGGUCUCAGUUCGGAUUGGGGUCUGCAACUCGACCCCAUGAAGUCGGAGUCGCUAGUAAUCGCAGAUCAGCAACGCUGCGGUGAAUACGUUCCCGGGCCUUGUACACACCGCCCGUCACGUCAUGAAAGUCGGUAACACCCGAAGCCAGUGGCCUAACCCUUGGGAGGGAGCUGUCGAAGGUGGGAUCGGCGAUUGGGACGAAGUCGUAACAAGGUAGCC
rnacentral:rRNA from 2 species